UUGGGCUCAGUGAUGCUUGACAAAUGUCUGACCUGAAAUUUUCAUGUGGAUACGUUUUUAUAACUGAGCAG